CCUACGGGUGGCAGCAGUGAGGAAUAUUGGUCAAUGGACGAGAGUCUGAACCAGCCAAGUAGCGUGAAGGAUGACUGCCCUAUGGGUUGUAAACUUCUUUUAUAAAGGAAUAAAACGAGGCACGUGUGCCGUUUUGCAUGUACUUUAUGAAUAAGGAUCGGCUAACUCCGUGCCAGCAGCCGCGGUAAUACGGAGGAUCCGAGCGUUAUCCGGAUUUAGUGGGUUUAAAGGGAGCGUAGAUGGGUUGUUAAGUCAGUUGUGAAAGUUUGCGGCUCAACCGUAAAAUUGCAAUUGAUACUGGCAGUCUUUUGUACAGUUGAUGUAGGCGGCAUUCGUUGUGUAGCGG
rnacentral:rRNA from 1 species